GAUGAACGCUAGCGGCAGGCCUAACACAUGCAAGUCGAGGGAGGAGCUUUCGGGCUUCGACCGGCGUACGGGUGCGUAACGCGUAUACAAACUGCCUUUCACAUAGGGAUAGCCCGAAGAAAUUUGGAUUAAUACCUAAUGGUAUAUAGAGGUGGCAUCACCUUUAUAUUAAAGCUGAGGCGGUGAAAGAUGAGUAUGCGUUCUAUGAGCUAGUUGGAGAGGUAACGGCUCCCCAAGGCGACGAUAGAUAGGGGUUCUGAGAGGGAUAUCCCCCACACUGGUACUGAGAUACGGACCAGACUCCUACGGGAGGCAGCAGUGAGGAAUAUAGGACAAUGGUCGGAAGACUGAUCCAGCCAUGCCGCGUGCAGGAAGACGGCCUUAUGGGUUGUAAACUGCUUUUGCAGGGGAAGAAUAAGGACUACGCGUAGUUUGAUGACGGUACUCUGCGAAUAAGCAUCGGCUAACUCCGUG
rnacentral:rRNA from 1 species